UGGGACUCAGUCUAGACAUUGAAUUGGGUGUGGCGACUUUGAGAAAUGUCUGUUAAUAACCGGACUGUGGUUACCUCGAGUUCCUCAGCCACGUCAGAGAAGUGAUUACGACAGGCAAAGGAAGCCUAACACCCGAGGACGAAAGAGGCAAACGAAAACACAAAGCUAGUCCAAGGACCUGGCCGCCACGUUCCGGCUUCCCUCAUCCACGCAAUUCUUACAGCAGACACACGCUUUUGGUAUUUUAUACACAUAUUUUAGAUGAGAAAACAAAACUUUAGAACGUGUUAGGUGAUUUUCUCAAGGUCCUAGAGCUAUUGAGCGGAAAGAGCCAGGAUUCAGAGCCAGGCGGGCCUGCUGCGGGCCUGAGCUCCCUCUGCAGAGCUCCGCCUCACAGCGACGCCCACUCCGGCCCCCUGGCUUCUUCGGCAGGAAAGUCCACGCGCCCGAGGAACAAUUUCCUUUAGAGUUCUUGUCAUCUCUGUCACAGUGUGGGCAACAUGAUCUAUAAAGUGUGACUUUUCCAACUCUCAAGCAUCCUGCUUUGGCUUCAGCGACCUUAGAGUGGAGACGCGAAGCAGGACCCCAGGCUGCCCCGUCUCGGAGGCAGCUCAGGUGGAAGGAACAGGAUCAUCUGGCAAGGCUUCAAGAAAGAAAAAAGGAAAAGCAAUAAUUAAAAGCAUUGGAAUGGCCAUUUACCACACCUUUUCCCACCUGAUCGCUCCUGUCAGAAGGCUGCACCCCCAAAUUUCAUUCCCCGUAGCACCUUCCAUGUGCCUACGCAGAAGAGAAAU